rnacentral:rRNA from 1 species
GCCCUUAGAGUUUGAUCCUGGCUCAGGAUGAACGCUGGCGGCGUGUCUAAGGCAUGCAAGUAGAACGCCUGUAGCAAUACAGGAGUGGCAAACGGGUGCGUAACACAUUGGUAACCUACCUCGAAGUCGUGAAUAACUCCGCGAAAGCGGAGCUAAUACACGAUGGUCAAGAAAAGACGAAAGUCCUUUCUUGUAAAGAUUUAUCGCUUCGAGAGGGGCCUAUGCCCUAUCAGCUAGUUGGUGAGGUAAUGGCUCACCAAGGCUUUGACGGGUAGGGGGCGUAAGAGCGCGACCCCCCUCACUGGGACUGAGACACUGCCCAGACUCCUACGGGAGGCUGCAGUCGAGAAUAUUACUCAAUGCACGAAAGUGUGAAGGAGCGACGCCGCGUGCCAGAAGAAGCCCCUCGGGGUGUAAAUGGCUUUUUUCAGGGACGAAUUCUGACGGUACCUGAAGAAUAAGUGGUUGCUAACUCUGUGCCAGCAGCAGCGGUAAUACAGAGACCACGAGCGUCAUCCGGAUUUAUUGGGCGUAAAGCGUCCGCAGGUUGUUAUGAAAGUCAUUCGUGAAACCGUUGGGCUUAACCCAACGUGCGCGGGUGAUACUUCGUGGCUAGAGGCCGGGAGAGGCACAUGGAAUUGCUGGUGUAGCGGUAAAAUGCGUUAAUAUCAGCAAGAACACCAAAGGCGAAGGCAGUGUGCUAGAACGGUCCUGACACUCAGGGACGAAAGCGUGGGGAGCGAAUGAGAUUAGAUACCUCAGUAGUCCACGCCCUAAACGAUGAAUGCUAGAUAUCGGGAGUAUCGACCCUCUCGGUGUCGGUUAACCAAGCUAACGCGUUAAGCAUUCCGCCUACGAAGUACGGCCGCAAGGCUAAAACGCAAAGGAAUAGACGGGGACCCGCACAAGCGGUGGAGCAUGUGGUUUAAUUCGACGGUAAGCGAGAAACCUUACCCAGGCUCAACUACUAGCUGCAAGCUCUAUGAAAGUAGAGUUCCUUCGAGGGUGCUAGAUAGGUGCUGCAUGGUUGUCGUCAGCUCGUGCCGUAAGGUGUACCCUUCAGUGGGGUAACGAGCGCAACCCCUAGGCCGUGUUACAAGUGUCACGGCCGACUGCCUUCGUAAGAAGGAGGAAGGCGGGGAUGACGUCAAAUCAGCGUGGCUCUUACGUCUGGGGCGACACACAUGCUACAAUGGUCGGUACAACGGGUUGCCAAACCGCAAGGUGGAGCUAAUCCCUUAAAGCCGACCCCAGUUCGGAUUGAAGUCUGAAACUCGACUUCAUGAAGUCGGAAUCGCUAGUAACGGCGCAUCAGCCACGGCGCCGUGAAUACGUUCUCGGGUCUUGUACUCACCGCCCGUCAAGUCAAGGAAGUUGGUAACACCCGAACGUCGCCGUAGGGCGACGGAAGGUGGGACCAGUAACAGGGACUAAGUCGUAACAAGGUAACCAAGGG